GCAAGUCGAACGGGAUUUGAGUAGCAAUACUUAAUGAGAGUGGCGCACGGGUGCGUAACGCGUAUGCAACCUACCUUUAACAGGGGGAUAGCUCCGAGAAAUCGGGAUUAAUACCCCAUAGUAUUAUUGAUUGGCAUCGAUUAAUAAUUAAAGCUCCGGCGGUUAAAGAUGGGCAUGCGUGCCAUUAGCUAGUUGGUGAGGUAAGGGCUCACCAAGGCGAUGAUGGCUAGGGGUUCUGAGAGGAUUAUCCCCCACACUGGUACUGAGACACGGACCAGACUCCUACGGGAGGCAGCAGUAAGGAAUAUUGGGCAAUGGACGCAAGUCUGACCCAGCCAUGCCGCGUGCAGGAAGACGGCCCUAUGGGUUGUAAACUGCUUUUAUCAGGGAAUAAACCCCCGGAUGUAUCCGGGGCUGAAUGUACCUGAAGAAUAAGCAUCGGCUAACUCCGUGCCAGCAGCCGCGGUAAUACGGAGGAUGCAAGCGUUAUCCGGAUUCAUUGGGUUUAAAGGGUGCGCAGGCGGAUUAUUAAGUCAGUGGUGAAAUCCUACAGCUCAACUGUAGAACUGCCAUUGAUACUGAUAAUCUUGAGUAUAUUUGAAGUGGGCGGAAUGUAGCAUGUAGCGGUGAAAUGCAUAGAUAUGCUACAGAACACCAAUUGCGAAGGCAGCUCACUAAACUAUAACUGACGCUCAUGCACGAAAGCGUGGGGAUCAAACAGGAUUAGAUACCCUGGUAGUCCACGCUGUAAACGAUGAUUACUCGUUGUUGGCGAUACACAGUCAGCGACCAAGCGAAAGUGAUAAGUAAUCCACCUGGGGAGUACGAUCGCAAGGUUGCAACUCAAUGAAUUGACGGAA
rnacentral:rRNA from 1 species